GUUUCUGGAAGUACCAACUGCGCUCAGACUCAGACUUAGACAAUUCAGUUCAAUUCAAAAAAGAUUUAUGGAACCGACCCGACCCUGAAAAAGACGAUCUGAGAAGAGGGACGGGAGUCUCACCUUUCUCCUUCUUCGCCUCCUCUUUGGACCCCCCAGGCCUCGGGGUGUAGGCAUGAGGAGCUCGGAAAGCCGGGGUCCCCGGUCUUGGGGUUCGAGGAACCGGAGCCGUCUGGGUUGCGGGUCGUGAGGUGGAGCCCCUAGCCCCCAGCUCCUCUGUUCCAUCUGGGGCUGGCUGAGUCCCGGGCCCGGCGGGGUCAUCAACUACAGGGAAUGAACUGCAAGAAUGAGUCAGACUGGGACAAAUCGCUGGGGUCCAGCAACACUGAUAACUCCCAGGCUUCUCUGCUCCGGAUUCUGUUCCUGGACGUGCAGAAUGUGCUAUGCCCCCGGUGCCGCAACAGGAGGAGGAAUGCUCGGUGCCAGAGAUCGAUCGAGGAGUGUACGGACCAGUGCUCGACUGCGCACGAUGACAGGAGCGAAGACUUAGACCAGAACCAAGACAGGGACAGGGACAGGGACCUGGACUGGGAUGGGGAUGGAGAAGAGGACGGUGAUGGGGACGGGGACGGGGACGGGGACACCUCCACGUGUUGGGUUCAGUACUUAAGCCGAGACCACCACCGCUCUAACCAGAGCCGCUCCCUUUCUUCCGAGUCCCCUCGGACAAGGCAAAGAGCGUCCUUCGGCUUGCAGUGGCUUCAUCCUCUGGAGCUGGCUCUGUAUGUAGCUGAUCUCUUCUCCCCUGGUUCCAGCAUGGUUGCCUUGCUGAAGCUGCCCAGGCUGAAGGAACCAUACUCAUUGUCACUACCAUGGAUUUCCAGUUCAGCCAGGGUUGAAGAUCAGGAAGGAUGGGGAUGAAGGCCCAGAUGGUCCUGGUGUGAGCGUGGUGGGGGGAGGAGAGGAGGCUCUAGUGAUCUUGGUAAGUCCUGCCCAGUUACUCUCUAUUUCCAGGGCUCCUGUUGUGCCCAUGUAGGUUAUGUGUGUCCACAUGGGUCUGUUUAGAUCUGACUUGCCAGGAGGCAAGAAUAGGUAUUUGUAGAGUCUACCUCCACCCUUAUCCAAGGGAGACUGUUCCUGUG
rnacentral:lncRNA from 1 species